rnacentral:rRNA from 1 species
CGACACCUGGAUUAAUGCCCCAUGGUACCGUUAUAUCGCAUGAUAUUUCGGUUAAAGAUUUAUCGGACAGGGAUGGCCAUGCGUACCAUUAGUUAGUUGGUGGGGUAACGGCCCACCAAGGCAGCGAUGGUUAGGGGCCCUGAGAGGGGGAUCCCCCACACUGGUACUGAGACACGGACCAGACUCCUACGGGAGGCAGCAGUGAGGAAUAUUGGACAAUGGGCGGGAGCCUGAUCCAGC